GACGUAGGGGGCCAGCGUUGCUCGGAAUUACUGGGUGUAAAGGGUUCGUAGGCGGUGUGGCAAGUCGGGAGUGAAAUCUCUGGGCUCAACCCAGAGUCUGCUUCCGAAACUGCUGUGCUUGAGUGUGGGAGAGGCGCGUGGAAUUGCAGGUGUAGCGGUGAAAUGCGUAGAUAUCUGCAGGAACACCCGUGGCGAAAGCGGCGCGCUGGACCACUACUGACGCUGAGGAACGAAAGCUAGGGGAGCAGACAGG
rnacentral:rRNA from 1 species